GCCAGUGUCAGUGACUGAGUUGUUGGUGACUAUGAUUCAUCUUAUAAGUGAUCCUAGCUGUCUCACCUAUCACAAGCCCAGUGCAGUGGCCUAUGACCCUGGGGUAUUGGCUGCAGACAUGUUGAAGAAGCUGUGUAUCUCAGAGGACAUCUGUCAGAUCUGUAUGUGUAAAGAUGACAUCAUCAAUACUCUGUUGACACCCAUCACACACUGGCUGGAUGACUCCAUGGAGCAUGAUAUAAACCAGGC